AUUGAACGCUAGCGGGAUGCUUUACACAUGCAAGUCGAACGAGUGGCGGACGGGUGAGUAAUAUCUCGGAACGUGCCCAGUAGCGGGGGAUAACUACUCGAAAGGGUGGCUAAUACCGCAUACUAUUGGAUGGGCCGAAAUGGGAUUAGCUAGUUGGGGGGGUAAAGGCUCACCAAGGCAACGAUCCGUAGCUGGUUUGAGAGGAUGACCAGCCACACUGGGACUGAGACACGGCCCAGACUCCUACGGGAGGCAGCAGUGGGGAAUAUUGGACAAUGGGGGAAACCCUGAUCCAGCCAUCCCGCGUGUAUGAGAAGGCCUUCGGGUUGUAAAGUACUUUUGGCAGAGAGGCGGUAUCUGCAGAAUAAGCACCGGCUAACUCCGUGCCAGCAGCCGCGGUAAUUC
rnacentral:rRNA from 1 species